ACCUCACUAACUCCUUUAUUUUUAGACAUCUCUAUUUAUUUUAAGGAAUCCUUCCAUUUAGAAAAAAACAAAGUCUUUAUAAUGUGCAAGUUCUUAUAAUGGCAAAACCUUUUGAGGACUUUGGAUUAUCUGAAUGGAAGAAUGUUUUGAAACAAAUUGAGAUGUCUAAAAAUGAGGGAAUCGGUGAGGUGAUAAAUAAG
rnacentral:lncRNA from 1 species